UCUUACACAUGCAGUCGAACGAUGAACCACUUCGGUGGGGAUUAGUGGCGAACGGGUGAGUAACACGUGGGCAAUCUGCCCUGCACUCUGGGACAAGCCCUGGAAACGGGGUCUAAUACCGGAUACUGAACCUUGCAGGCAUCUGUGAGGGUCGAAAGCUCCGGCGGUGCAGGAUGAGCCCGCGGCCUAUCAGCUAGUUGGUGAGGUAAUGGCUCACCAAGGCGACGACGGGUAGCCGGCCUGAGAGGGCGACCGGCCACACUGGGACUGAGACACGGCCCAGACUCCUACGGGAGGCAGCAGUGGGGAAUAUUGCACAAUGGGCGAAAGCCUGAUGCAGCGACGCCGCGUGAGGGAUGACGGCCUUCGGGUUGUAAACCUCUUUCAGCAGGGAAGAAGCGAAAGUGACGGUACCUGCAGAAGAAGCGCCGGCUAACUACGUGCCAGCAGCCGCGGUAAUACGUAGGGCGCAAGCGUUGUCCGGAAUUAUUGGGCGUAAAGAGCUCGUAGGCGGCUUGUCACGUCGGUUGUGAAAGCCCGGGGCUUAACCCCGGGUCUGCAGUCGAUACGGGCAGGCUAGAGUUCGGUAGGGGAGAUCGGAAUUCCUGGUGUAGCGGUGAAAUGCGCAGAUAUCAGGAGGAACACCGGUGGCGAAGGCGGAUCUCUGGGCCGAUACUGACGCUGAGGAGCGAAAGCGUGGGGAGCGAACAGGAUUAGAUACCCUGG
rnacentral:rRNA from 1 species